UACGAAGGGUGCAAACGUUGCUCGGAAUUAUUGGGCGUAAAGCGCACGUAGGCGGCUUAGCAAGUUGGAUGUGAAAUCCCUCGGCUCAACCAAGGAAGUGCAUCCAAAACUGCUGAGCUUGAGUACUUAAGAGGAUCGCGGAAUUCCCGGUGUAGAGGUGAAAUUCGUAGAUAUCUGGAGGAACACCGGUGGCGAAGGCGGCAUCCUGGACCGGCAUUGACGCUGAGGCGCGAAAGCUAGGGGAGCGAAUGGG
rnacentral:rRNA from 1 species